GUCGAGAAUUUUUCUCAAUGGGGGCAACCCUGAAGGAGCGACGCCGCGUGGAGGAUGAAGGCUUUCGGGUUGUAAACUCCUGUCAUUUGGGAACAAGUGGCCGAACUUAACUGCUUCGGUCUUGAUAGUACCAGAAGAGGAAGGGACGGCUAACUCUGUGCCAGCAGCCGCGGUAAUACAGAGGUCCCAAGCGUUGUUCGGAUUCAUUGGGCGUAAAGGGUGCGUAGGUGGCGCCGUAAGUCGGGUGUGAAAUUUCGGAGCUUAACUCCGAAACUGCAUUCGAUACUGCGGUGCUUGAGGACUGGAGAGGAGACUGGAAUUCAUGGUGUAGCAGUGAAAUGCGUAGAGAUCAUGAGGAAGACCAGUGGCGAAGGCGGGUCUCUGGACAGUUCCUGACACUGAGGCACGAAGGCCAGGGGAGCAAACGGGAUUAGAUACCCCGGUAGUCC
rnacentral:rRNA from 1 species